UACGGAGGGGGCUAGCGUUGUUCGGAAUUACUGGGCGUAAAGGGCGCGUAGGCGGCCUUCUAAGUCAGACGUGAAAUCCCCCGGCUUAACCUGGGAACUGCGUCUGAUACUGGAGGGCUUGAGUAUGGGAGAGGGAUGUAGAAUUCCAGGUGUAGCGGUGAAAUGCGUAGAUAUCUGGAGGAAUACCGGUGGCGAAGGCGGCAUCCUGGACCAUUACUGACGCUGAGGCGCGAAAGCUAGGGGAGCAAACGGG
rnacentral:rRNA from 1 species